rnacentral:lncRNA from 1 species
GGGAACAAAUGCAGGCAGUGGGUGCUGUGGGCUCUCAGACCAUCUUUGUGAAUUUAGACAUCCCACCUACUUGCUGGGAGUUACUGGCCCCACAGCACUGCGUGUGCAAUUCACCCACUCUGGUGUGUCACUUGGCAUGAGUGACACCGGAAAGUGGGUUUGCUCAAGUACCUGGACUCUGGGCAGCAGUGGCUGAGACAUGUGCCCAAAACAUGAGAGCAGUAAGAAAGGCCUAGAAGAGCUGUAAUGCCUUACGCUGCCACAAACAUGCUUAGGGAAUCUCAGAAUGUGGUCACAGUAGUUAUCAGUGAAUCCAAACCGGUGUCCAAGAUGGUGAAACGUAAUCAUCAGUACUUUGGACUACGAAGAUGUUUCCUGUGUCUGUCUCAAUUUCUCCAAAGAAAAUCCAUUCCAUGAAAGUAAUGCGUAGUGACUACGGAAGAGGUCUGAGCCUGCUGUGGCAGGUGGGGAACACACAGCAGAGCUGGUCCUUGCCAGGCAGCAUUCAACCCUGAGCAGUGGUCAUCUUCCCCACUGUGCCUGCUGAUCUCAUGGAAGAGCUGAGGCAUCCGCUCCCAGAUUUCUCAUGUGCUAAGUGUGGUGGAGUGACUGGGCGGGAUCAAAGUGGGAAGGAAAUGAGGAGGAAAAGGGACAGCAAGCUGGAGGAAAGAGGGGAGGAGAGUACAAAUGGAGAGUACAAAUGGAAAAACAGAAAACGCAGGCCAGCCAGCGAGCGUGAGUGA